rnacentral:rRNA from 1 species
ACCCAGACUCCUACGGGAGGCAGCAGUGGGGGAUAUUGCACAAUGGGGGAAACCCUGAUGCAGCGACGCCGCGUGGGUGAAGAAGUAUUUCGGUAUGUAAAGCCCUAUCAGCAGGGAAGAAAGAAGACGGUACCUGACUAAGAAGCCCCGGCUAACUACGUGCCAGCAGCCGCGGUAAUACGUAGGGGGCGAGCGUUAUCCGGAUUCACUGGGUGUAAAGGGAGCGUAGACGGCCGUGCAAGCCAGGAGUGAAAGCCCGGGGCCCAACCCCGGGACUGCUCUUGGAACUGUGCGGCUGGAGUGCGGGAGGGGCAGGCGGAAUUCCUGGUGUAGCGGUGAAAUGCGUAGAUAUCAGGAGGAACACCGGCGGCGAAGGCGGCCUGCUGGACCGCGACUGACGUUGAGGCUCGAAAGCGUGGGGAGCAAACAGGAUUAGAUACCCUCGUA